CGUCCACUUCUUUUUUAAUCAACCUAGGGUGGAAUUAGCCUGUGCCUCUUGCUCAUUGUAUGACCUUGGGUUUAAGUUUCUUAACCUUUGUGCGCCUCAGUUUCCUCAUCUGUGAAAUGGGGAUCACUACUACAUGUCCAGUGGAAAGCAGACAUUCUCAAAUUUGAGUGUGCUUGUUUUACGAAAGCAAGUUUCUGGGUCCCAGCUCUCAGAGACUUGGAUUCAGCAGGUCUUGGGUGAAGCCCCGGCAUCUGCAGCGGAUGCGGAUAUUUCUCCAGCCACACUUGGAGACACACGGAGACCAUAGCAGGACUUGCUUCAUCUUUUUGAUCUUGCACCAGCUAUCAAUAAAAAAAAGUCACACUCCUACCCCUAAUAGAAGUAUGUUUACAAAUAAAUGUUCUGUCCUCUUGAACUGCGUCAUAUACUUUGUAGAGCUGGGAGAUAUUGGAGGACAGAGGAGCCUGGAAGGCUGCAGUCCAUGGGGUUGCAAUGAGUUGGGCAUGACUUAGCAACUGAACCACAAGAACAACAUUAAGAUAACAAAUAUCAAUCCAUUCAUCCCACACCCCUGGGUUAUGUGAAACCUACUUUGAAAACCCCUGAUUUAGAAGCCCAAAUGAACUAUGUAUAAAAACACUCUAAAUAGACAAAACUGGACUAAGAUUUUUGACAAGAUACAUAGCCUACACAUACAUGUGACCAUCCACUUAGAACAGAAUACAAUCAAAUGUGAACGCACACCCCAAUACCACUCUGAGCUUAGUUUUGUUGGAAGACUUCUGUAUUUUCUGCUUUUAACCAUUUUGGAAUAGUUAAUACAAAGCAAGGGUAAAAUAUGACCCAGAGACCAGAAGAUAGACAAAGAAUUUUGCUCAUAUGCCUUAUCAGAAUUACACGUUCCCAAUUCACAUGACUGACCAAGCUGAUUAGAGUAUUUGUUGAGUGAGGAUCUUGCUAUUUUAAACACAAAACCAUGAAGUUUUCUCUUGGCAUCAGUUACUAACCUUAAAAAAAAUCCCACAAAAAUAAUUUCAUUUCCAGGUCCUACUCUAUCCCUUUUUAAUUCUCCACAAUAGUCCUAAAGUCAGCAAGACUGGCGCAUAUAAAUCUUGGUUCUUAUAUAAACAAGUGAAGUUUUUACAGGCCAAAGAGAGUUGCUGGUCUCUUCUCAUUAACUACUGUACUCUCCCUGUCUUAAAUGCUGAUCCCUAGAACAGGAUUAAAAGUUUUUAAUCGCCCAUUUAUGAAGCCAUGUGAUCAUAUGUUCCAAGAUCUUCAUGGCAUCAAUCAUUGGGCAGGAGACAAACCAAAGACUAUUACAGCAUUUAAUUUAAAAGUUAUAGGUGAAAAUUUUAUAACAAAAAAAGUAUCUGCAAAGAUACUUUCAAAAUAAUUUGCCAAAUCAUACAAUUAUUGAUACAAAAAUUUUAUUCAGUAAGAAUUUCUGAGAGCCAUCAAGUUAUGAUUUUUGGUUUUUUGCUUUUCAAUUUUCUGAAGUUUUUUUUUUUUAAAUUUAUUGUUCUUGUUGUUGUUUAGUCACUAAGUCAUGUCUGAUUCUUUUGUGACCCCUUGGACUGUACCCCACCAGGGUCCUCUGCCCAUAGGAUCUCCUAGGCAAGAAUACUAAAGUGAGUUGUCAUUUCCUUCUCCAGGGGAUCUUCCUGACCCAGGGAUCAAACCCACAUCUCCUCCAAUGGCAGGAUUCUUUACCACUGAGCCACCAGGCCCUGAGAGAUCCCCACCAUCAACAGAGCCAAGAAGCUGUGCCGCCUGCAGUUCUCGCGUUCGGCCGGCAGAGGGCGCGAAUGUCAGCUCUGCGGGAGGCGGACGACAACCGUCAGGACAGGGGCUGAAUCCUGUGGGCAGCGACACCAGCUGGGAGGUUACAGAAUGCCCGGACAGAGUCCCAGGUGUCCUUUCAGACGUUUGGAUCUACCAUGAGGGACCUCCAGAGAUCUGAGAACAGACCUGAAGAAUGGUCCUGGGAAGAUGAGGCAUGAAGGAAGGAAGCCCUGGACAGAAGCUGCCCCACAGACAAAAGGGUCAGAGGAUUUAAGAUCUGGCAAGGAUCUUGCAAGCAAAUCGGAGUCUCCUUUGACCACAGCCAAACCCUUUAUUGGCAGAACCCCACUUCCAAAGCAUCACCAUCCUGCUGUCGUGGCUGGGAGGGAAGGAAGAGUUUCUCCAUGCUUCCACUGUGUCAGAUCAGGGUGGAGGAAGCCUCGGUAUCUGAUUUUGAGGAAGAAGGGCAGAAGCAUACAGGGCCAAGGACCCUCAGUCUCCCUGGCACUUUCACCAGGACCUACCUGUGUGUCCAGAGAGAGCUGAAUCCUAGGGAAGAUCCUAGAGAGGAUAUCAAAUUGUUGAUUAAGAACAAAACCUGUAACCUCAAAUGACCCCUUUCCAAAAUAAGAGACUGGCGGGGGGAGUUCUAACAUCUGCCCUCAUGCGUACAUUCUAGGUUUCCUGGUUUUCAUGAGCUGAAAAUUAUAAAAUCAGCUUUUCCACUUCCUUAGCAUAAGCUGUUACUGAUCAUCUCGUUUUCAAGUAAAACACACAGACACACAUGAAAGUUCAAAAUCAGAACCCAAUGAGGCACCGAAGAGUGAAGUUUGCUGUACAUACAUUUUAAGAAACUUAACCUGGAUGGAAUGCAGACGAUGACAAAUGACUGUUAAAACUGAAUCACAUAACCACGCCCAAGGGGUGGGGAACGAAGGUGCUGACCUAAGUAAUUUUGGCUAACGGGCUUCUGGCUGGAUUUUCUAAGGCUCAAAACUAGAAGAAUAGUACAUGGCACUACGCUGUCAUUGGAAAUCUUUCUUUAGGGGUCUAUAUUCAAACUACUUUAUACAUAUGCUAGAGUUGAUACACAUAUAAAAAGAUCAUGGAUCAUAAGAGCCAGGUUUCUUUAUUGUUGGAGAAAAAUUACAAAGCGGGAAAGUGGGAAGUUUAGAGGGAAGCCUAUGGAGCUAGACUGGGGUCAGAGGCAGCAGUUAUUUUGUUCUGAAGAUAGUUAUACAGAGGGUUUCCUUGGUGGCUCAGUGGUAUGAAUCCACCUGCCAAUGCAGGCCACAUGGGUUACCCUUGGUCCGGGAAGAUCCCACUUGCCUUUGAGCAACUAAGUCUGUGUGCCACAACUAUUGAACCUG
ensembl:lncRNA